CGGACGGGUGAGUAAUGUCUGGGAAACUGCCUGAUGGAGGGGGAUAACUACUGGAAACAGUAGCUAAUACCGCAUAACGUCGCAAGACCAAAGAGGGGGACCUUCGGGCCUCUUGCCAUCGGAUGUGCCCAGAUGGGAUUAGCUAGUAGGUGGGGUAACGGCUCACCUAGGCGACGAUCCCUAGCUGGUCUGAGAGGAUGACCAGCCACACUGGAACUGAGACACGGUCCAGACUCCUACGGGAGGCAGCAUG
rnacentral:rRNA from 1 species